UGACAAUAAUUUUUUUUAGAAAAAAAACCCUCAUAAAUGCAUAUUCAAGUGACCUUCAUAUUUAAAAUUAAUUGGAAAAUUGCAUUUGUACUUGGAAAAUGACCUUAUAAACUGAUAAAACAUGGAAUCACAGGUUCAAUGCAUGUUACAAAGCUCAUUCAAAAAGAUUAAUCAUCUCAUGUCCGUAAAAGAGACCUUUACUUUUGUAGACAAGUUUUGUAAUGGCACGACUGCACAAAUUGUGCGGUGAACGAGGAUGGGGUGCAAAAUCACGAGAGGUGGAUCAUCAAGUCUAGACAACUGAAAAGUUUUAAAUUCAAACCCGAGGUAACAACUCAUCAAAACAAAUCAUUGAUUUGAGCUUCCUCUUAGCACAAUUAUCUAAAAUCUUUAGAUCAGAAUAAUCACAAAGCCCAAACUCCAUAUGUCUAAUUAGCACACAACAUGAGCAACUCAUGCUUAACCACAGUUGUCAAAUCGUGAAUUGUUGUACUGAAUCGUGAAUUGUAAAGAUUCGGCCACUUUUCUAAAUCACUUAGAAAAAUAUAUCUACAUACACACUUGGAUGUUAAAUAUAUCUUAUAAAUAUAAAAUAUGUAGACUUAAAUCAAUGAAAAUGUUAUUUUGAAUGAUGAUCGUGUGGUCUAAUAAGUAAGAAGUUAACACAGGUCCUCAUGAAAUAACACCAUCUUACCUUUUCCUUUUUUUAGAUAUUACUUAUCAACCAUUCUUAAUAAAGAAAGUAAACAAAGACAAAUUCUCAAUUUUCAAGUAACAAUAACUUAACAACGUUAUUGACAUUUCAUAAGCAUACAUACCUUUACAAGUAAUGAUAACCCAUUACUUUUAACCUUAAACAUCUUUAGAAUAUACAUUAUGAUUUCUUUUAAGGAAAAAAAAAAUGAGAAGAAAUUGUUAAAAACAUGUUGUGUCUGAUUAAAUCUUAUUAAAACUCUCUGAUCUCCAAAAUAAUAACAAAUUAUGUAUAUGUAUUGGUUAUUUUCGCACUAAACACUAUUAGAAGUUGUAUAAUGUCAUUUUAACUAAAAAAAUGGAGAAAAAAAAAUAAUCAAAAUAUGUCAGACAUAAUAGUUUCAAGAAUUGCAUGAAUUGUAAAAAGUAAAUCGAAUAUUAAAUCGAUUUUGAAUCAUGUGAUUCAUUAGAGAUUCACGUCCAAAAUAGAUUCACCCAUAUAUUCGUAUCAAUUUUGCAACAAUUGCGAAUGGAAUCAUGAAUAGUAAGACUCUACUAAUAGAGUGCUUAACCCAUUCUACAACACACAUAAUAAAGCAGGAAACUUGCUAAUAAAUAAAUAAACUCUUAAUAUAAAAAAAUCACUUAUUUCAACAAAGCUUGUUAAGGGCCAUACAUAAGAUGCCGUACAAUUUUUUUCUAUUUCUUUUGUGGCUGAUUGCACAUAAUGAGAAUUCACAAAAGUUCAAAAGAC